GGGACCCUAGCAGCAGGUUAAAAUGAACAAAAUGCCUUCCCUUUCAGAGAAAAUGGAAUCUGAAUAUCUAUUCAAUCAAUGGACUACGGCUGUUUUACUUUACUGUUUUCUUUUUUUCAGCCAAUUGAAGCUGCCCUUCUCUCUACAGCACUCGGCCACUGGGAUAUGACAUCAUGUAUCCCAGUAGCCUUUAGCUCAUAAAAAGCGAAUGAAUGCAGCUGCUCUUUGCUGCUCCCAUCCCCUCUAAACCCGCACAAUUUCCCCCCCCUGGCCAGCACCAGAG